rnacentral:rRNA from 1 species
CGGGUGACGGGGAAUCAGGGUUCGAUUCCGGAGAGGGAGCCUGAGAAAUGGCUACCACUUCUACGGAAGGCAGCAGGCGCGCAAAUUACUCAAUCCCAAUACGGGGAAGUAGUGACAAAAAAUACUAAUGCCUUUCCAUUUAUAUGGGGGGCAAUUGGAAUAAGUACAACUUAAAUCGCUUAGCAAAAGUGAUUGGAGGGCAAGUCUGGUGCCAGCAGCCGCGGUAAUUCCAGCUCCAAUAGCGUAUACUAAAUUUGUUGCAGUUAAAAAGCUCGUAGUUGAGAUUGAGAUUUCUUAGGUUUAGAGUCGCUUGGCCUUCGGGUUUGAGUUUGAUUCGUAAAGCUUUAUAGUAGAAUUCCAUUUUAUUAUUAAAGUUACUAAGAAAUUUCUAUCUGCCCAUGGUAGCUAGCAAUAGUUAUCAAUCGGGUGAUCUACUGUGAGAAAAUUGUAGUGUUCAAAGCAGGCGUCUUACGUUUGUUCAAUGCAGCAUGGUAUAGUAAAAUAUGACACUAAAUAUAUGUUGGUUGUAUAUUCUUAGUGUAAUGACUAAUAGGGAAGGGCGGGGCCGU